CAGUCGCCGCGGUAAUACAGAGGGUGCAAGAGUUAAUCGGAAUUACUGGGCGUAAAGCGCGCGUAGGUGGUUUGUUAAGUUGAAUGUGAAAUCCCCGGGCUCAACCUGGGAACUGCAUCCAAAACUGGCAAGCUAGAGUAGGGCAGAGGGUGGUGGAAUUUCCUGUGUAGCGGUGAAAUGCGUAGAUAUAGGAAGGAACACCAGUGGCGAAGGCGACCACCUGGGCUCAUACUGACACUGAGGUGCGAAAGCGUGGGGAGCAAACAGGAUUAGAGACCCCGGUAGUCCCUGUCUCUUAUAC
rnacentral:rRNA from 1 species